UUGACAAAGCAUUUCCGAGGUACUGUAUGCCGUCGAAGACACCAGUCUAAGUUGUAAGUCAUGUACAAAAGUAUUUUAAUAAGUUUCAACCGAGGUGAGACUGCCAAGAAUAAUCUCAAGCCGUCAAAGUCUAAGAAGGCCCGGCAGCUUCUGCAGCAUAAACUGAUCAUAAAAGAAAUUCUUAAGUCAUAAACCUAGCAACCAUAGAAGCAUGAUGAUCAAUUGGAAGUUGAUGAUAAUGAUCAGAGGAACUCCUGUAAAGUAUACCGCCGGCAUCCAUUGAAGCAGCGGAUUAUAGUUGUUUGAUGAUAAGAAAGAGUACCAAUGAAAGAUACUGAAGGAAUCACAGUGAUAGCAGCAGCAAUGGGCUGAAGGUGAGCCGAAUUAGGAAUAAUGAGAGUCUGUGCCCCCAUUGCUGCUGCUGCACCGACUCUCCUUGCUCCUAAUUUGGCUCAAUCUCAACCCAUUGUUGCUAAUUCUGUUGCUGUGGUUCCUUUAGUACCUUUCAUUGGUACUCUCUUUGAUAGUCAAACAGCUGCAAUCUACUGCUUUUAUUGGUGUCCGCCGUAUUCCUUAGGGGGAUUCCUCUAAUCAUUAUCAUCAGCUUCCAACUGAUCAUCAUGCUUCCAUAAUUGCUGGGUUUAUGUGUUACUAGAAUUUCUCUCAUGACCAGUUUAUGCAGAAGAAGCUGCAGUACGUUUGGAGCCGCCGGCCUUCUUAGAUUUUGACGGCUUGGGAUUGUUCUUAACUGCUUCAAUUUGCCAAAGCUUAUUAAAAUACUUCUACGCAUGGCUCGCAACUUGGAUUGAUGUCUUUUACUACACACAAUGCCUCGAAAUGCUUCACCUAUCUUUCCUUCCCGUACUUCUCUACUCUCAUUAGAAACAUGCUGUAAAAAGAAAAAAAAUUGGGUCAAUCACAAUUGCAUUAUCUAAUUUUAAAUCUUAUUCAAGAAUGUUAAUCAUAUAUACUCAUUUUCUUUAUGGGUCCACGAGACACCUCUAUUAGCCUUACAAGACUGAUGAGAGGUGGCACUGACCAGAGAUUUUUCUUUGUCGGCAGUGUUGCCAUUGCUGUCAUCAUUGUCGGCAUAGGGUGGCAGUGGCACAUUACCCCGGGUUGAUGUUGUCUACGUCUUGAAUCAGCAUGAAAAAAUGGUCUUGUAUUUCUUGGACGGUUCUUCCAGGAAUUUCCAUGGCAAUCUUAACGAACAUUUUGAAUGGGGGCUCAUUGUUUCAUUGAAGUCAAUGCCAGAGGUCAAUGAUGAGGAUGAUGACGAUGCUAGCAUAGAGGAAGACGACAAUGAGUAGGAUCGAGCAGGGAGGAUAGCGUUUAGUCUUGUAGGCCGUGACAACAUUGUGUCUCAUCUUAUGUAAUGGUUUGAUGUUCUAAUGUUACUUUUAGAUACUUCCUUCUCUAAGAAAAUAUAUCUCUAUUCUCUAUCAUUUUCCCCUGCUACAUCAGAAAUUUAUAGUUGUAGAUGGGAUAUUUCCUGCUCAAUGUUCUCCUUUUUUACAUUUUUUAUGAUAAACUGCUUCCCCGUAUGUUAAAUAUGCUGUUAUAGUGGUGCGAGAACAUGAUGCACUUUGCACUUCAUGUAUAUAGUUGAGUUGUGUAAUGGUAGAAGAAUGUGAUGCACUUUUCUGUUCACGCAUAUGGUGUGACUCCCAUGUAGCCGGCCUAAAUUCGGUGACUCCCAAUUGCAUAAUAUGGUUUUUCUCCUGGGUUA